AGAGUUUGAUCAUGGCUCAGGAUGAACGCUGGCGGCGUGCUUAACACAUGCAAGUCGAACGAUGAUCCGGUGCUUGCAUCAGGGAUUAGUGGCGAACGGGUGAGUAACACGUGAGUAACCUGCCCUUGACUCUGGGAUAAGCCUGGGAAACUGGGUCUAAUACCGGAUAUGACCAUCUGACGCAUGUCAUGGUGGUGGAAAGCUUUUGUGGUUUUGGAUGGACUCGCGGCCUAUCAGCUUGUUGGUGGGGUAAUGGCCUACCAAGGCGACGACGGGUAGCCGGCCUGAGAGGGUGACCGGCCACACUGGGACUGAGACACGGCCCAGACCCCUACGGGAGGCAGCAGUGGGGAAUAUUGCACAAUGGGCGCAAGCCUGAUGCAGCGACGCCGCGUGAGGGAUGACGGCCUUCGGGUUGUAAACCUCUUUCAGUAGGGAAGAAGCGAAAGUGACGGUACCUGCAGAAGAAGCGCCGGCUAACUACGUGCCAGCAGCCGCGGUAAUACGUAGGGCGCAAGCGUUAUCCGGAAUUAUUGGGCGUAAAGAGCUCGUAGGCGGUUUGUCGCGUCUGCUGUGAAAGACCGGGGCUCAACUCCGGUUCUGCAGUGGGUACGGGCAGACUAGAGUGCAGUAGGGGAGACUGGAAUUCCUGGUGUAGCGGUGAAAUGCGCAGAUAUCAGGAGGAACACCGAUGGCGAAGGCAGGUCUCUGGGCUGUAACUGACGCUGAGGAGCGAAAGCAUGGGGAGCGAACAGGAUUAGAUACCCUGGUAGU
rnacentral:rRNA from 1 species